ACCUUUUUCCUUUUUUCCAACUCUUGGCUUCAAACCUUUGUGACUAUAAAUACAUGAUUAUUGUGUGGCUCUAUGCAAAACCAAAAGUGUUCUAUUAUAUUCCUAAUAAUCAUAAUAAGAUGAUGAAGCCCAUUUUUGUUGCAUUUUUGCUUUUGGCUUCCCUAAUCUUCCUUCCUUCUUCAACUCUAGCUGCUCGAAUACUAGCACACAAUCAGCGUGUGAGUGGGAGAAGCGUUGUUAAUAAGGGUAUUGGAUGUGAUCCUUCGAAUCCUAACAAACAUUGUUAUCCGCCCAGGCCACGAUGCAAGAACCCCUACAGGCGUAAAUGCUACUCGCCACCGCACAAUAAUUAAGCUCCGACGAGAAACUAAUUAAGCCACUUGUUAAAGUUUUUUCAAUACAUUAAAUAGUAACCUUAAUAUAAUAAUAGGGUUCAAUGGAGGGAACUAAAGAGCCUAGCCUUUAUUAUUAUGAUUAAUUAAUGAAUAAGUUUGGUAUCUUAUUGUCAAUGAUGUGUUAUUUCAGUGUUUCAGCAAUUUCAAAUAGAAAUUGAUGUAAGUUUUUGUAUGUAGUAAUGUUUAUCGAAUAAAAAGAAACUCAUUAUAUUGGCUUA